rnacentral:rRNA from 1 species
AACGAACGCUGGCGGCAGGCCUAACACAUGCAAGUCGAGCGAGGACUUCGGUUCUAGCGGCGGACGGGUGAGUAACGCGUGGGAAUGUGCCCCUCUCUACGGAAUAGCCCUGGGAAACUGGGAGUAAUACCGUAUACGCCCUAUUGGGGAAAGAUUUAUCGGAGAAGGAUCAGCCCGCGUUGGAUUAGGUAGUUGGUGGGGUAAUGGCCUACCAAGCCGACGAUCCAUAGCUGGUUUGAGAGGAUGAUCAGCCACACUGGGACUGAGACACGGCCCAGACUCCUACGGGAGGCAGCAGUGGGGAAUCUUAGACAAUGGGGGCAACCCUGAUCUAGCCAUGCCGCGUGAGUGAUGAAGGCCUUAGGGUUGUAAAGCUCUUUCAGCUGGGAAGAUAAUGACGGUACCAGCAGAAGAAGCCCCGGCUAACUCCGUG